AAAAAUACAAUAAUCCACUUUUAAGCAAGAGCAUGCAUGAUCCCUCAAAUAUCAGCAAAUCAUCCACUAACUUAGAUUCCAAAGGAAAGUUUUGUACCAUAGCCUAAAAUCAGAAAUCUAAUAAAAAUAAUGCACUGAUUUCAAAUGAACUAACAUAUAACUUGACUGAGUUCUGCAUGCUUUGAAAAUACCCUCAAGAGCCUCUUUCAUUUACAAAAAACUCAAACUGAUGAAGACUAAACAGCUAACCAUGAUUCGUUCAAUAUUACAAAGCAAAGAUUAAACUAAGACAAAUAUGAAAAUACAAAUCCAAAAGGGAAUCAGCUGGUUGCAGAUUUUGAGUGCAUCCUAAUCCUUGAAAAAUAUACUAGUCGGAACCGUUCCAAAACUGAGUAAUACCUACUGUGCAUGAAAUUGAAAGAAAGAGAAAUGAAACUUCAAUAGCAAAUAAUUAUCAGAUUUCAUCAUAUUUCAGAUUUAAACUUCCAAGUUACAUUCAAGUGAUGUCCAUUGUAUUAAAGCAUACUUGGAAAGCCAAAAACAAGAACAAUGAGGGAUCAACAACAGCAGAAAGAGCAAUCAGCAGCAAUGCAACAGUGUUGUCAAGUUGAAAAUGACCCAAGCUUCAAACCAAUUCCAAACAAACUCAAAUCUAAUUUCUAAAUCCAAACUCAAAUCAAUUUUUUCACCCAAAUGCCCAGAUUUGAAAACAUUUUCAGAAUUUUUAAACCAACACCAAGACCAAAGAGCUGAAACCUAAUGAGAUUUAAGCAUUUUCAACACAAAGAACCCAGAGUUUUAAGUAUUAUCUCAGAACUUACUCUAAAUUACUCAGCCGCCUUUUUCAGUUUUUAUCUUUUUAAUCUCUGACUUUCUUCUCAAGUAAAGGUGUGUUUAUAGGC
rnacentral:lncRNA from 1 species